AAUCGAAUGGAGGGAUUAGAAAUGAUUGAUAGUCCACCAGAGAAUUUAUUAAGAUUGGUUUAAGCAGCCAGCCUAUUAGAAAAAAAUUACUAGCAAUUAAAUAAGUGAAUUAGAUUGGCUCCUUGAGGAUGGAGUCAAUCUCUUUUUUA
rnacentral:sRNA from 10 species